GAUGAACGCUGGCGGCGUGCCUAAUACAUGCAAGUCGAGCGAACGGACGAGAAGCUUGCUUCUCUGAUGUUAGCGGCGGACGGGUGAGUAACACGUGGAUAACCUACCUAUAAGACUGGGAUAACUUCGGGAAACCGGAGCUAAUACCGGAUAAUAUUUUGAACCGCAUGAUUCAAAAGUGAAAGACGGUCUUGCUGUCACUUAUAGAUGGAUCCGCGCUGCAUUAGCUAGUUGGUAAGGUAACGGCUUACCAAGGCAACGAUGCAUAGCCGACCUGAGAGGGUGGUCGGCCACACUGGAACUGAGACACGGUCCAGACUCCUACGGGAGGCAGCAGUAGGGAAUCUUCCGCAAUGGGCGAAAGCCUGACGGAGCAACGCCGCGUGAGUGAUGAAGGUCUUCGGAUCGUAAAACUCUGUUAUUAGGGAAGAACAUAUGUGUAAGUAACUGUGCACAUCUUGACGGUACCUAAUCAGAAAGCCACGGCUAACUACGUG
rnacentral:rRNA from 1 species